UACGUAGGGGGCAAGCGUUGUCCGGAUUUAUUGGGCGUAAAGCGCGCGCAGGCGGUUUAUUAAGUCUGAUGUGAAAGCCCACGGCUCAACCGUGGAGGGCCAUUGGAAACUGGUAGGCUUGAGUGUGGGAGAGGUGAGUGGAAUUCCUGGUGUAGCGGUGAAAUGCGUAGAUAUCAGGAGGAACACCUGUGGCGAAAGCGGCUCACUGGACCACAACUGACGCUGAUGCACGAAAGCUAGGGGAGCAAACAGG
rnacentral:rRNA from 1 species